UCAGCAGCGACUCGUUCAUCUCCAUAUCGGCAAUAGAUAAUCUAAUGCAUUGGUCUAAUUUCCUCUCACCCCAUUGGACUUCAUUUGAAUGGCUGACUCUCAGAAACCAGUCUUUCCAUCCCUUGGUAGGACUGGGCCAGGAACGGAAAGCAUCUUUCCACAGAUCUAAGGAGAAAUUCUUAGCUCUAAAGGGGAUCCUAUUUGUCUCUGUGUUUAUCAGAUCGGUAGGAUCUCGGUUUCCCAAUGGACCGAGACAAUGGAAGUGAGGCUUAUCGGUGGGGAUUGCGAUCUUAUCGGCUAAUUCCUAAAGGGUUUAAAGAUUGGAAGAACAAAAAAAGGAGAAAAAAAGUACUCAGUAAAU
rnacentral:lncRNA from 1 species